rnacentral:rRNA from 1 species
AGCAGCCGCGGUAAUUCCAGCUCCAAUAGCGUAUAUUAAAGUUGUUGCAGUUAAAAAGCUCGUAGUUGAAUUUCGGGACCAAUCUGCCGGUCGUGCCUCCGGUACGCACUGGUUUUAUUGGUUUCUCCCUUCUGACGAACCAUGAUGUCAUUAAUUUGGUGUCAUGGGGAAUCAGGACUGUUACUUUGAAAAAAUUUAGAGUGUUUAUAGCAGGCUCACGCUUGAAUACAUUAGCAUGGAAUAAUGAAAUAGGACGUUUGACCCUAUUUUGUUGGUUUCUAGGAUCGACGUAAUGAUUAAUAGGGAUAGUUGGGGGCAUUAGUAUUCAAUUGUCAGAGGUGAAAUUCUUGGAUUUAUUGAAGACUAACUACUGCGAAAGCAUUUGCCAAGGAUGUUUUCAUUAAUCAAGAACGAAAGUUAGGGGAUCGAAGACGAUCAGGUACCGUCGUAGUCUUAACCAUAAACUAUGCCGACUAGGGAUCGGAUGAUGUUAAUUUUUUAAUGACUCAUUCGGCGCCUU